CCAAGGAGGAGGAGGGCAGAAAAGAGAGCUGGCUGUGGCCCCUGGGAAGGCUGGCCGGGACAGGAGAUGCCAUCUUCCUUCCUGGGCAAGAAGGACCCGUGGCCUGCAGACUGGGGCAAGUGCAGCGGGGCCAUCCCGUUUGGGGAGCUGAUCCAGACCCCUUGGCCGUAUGGUGUGUCAACUGGGAAGAUGAUCUGCAGUUGAGGAAGAGUGAUGCUCCCAGAACAAUUCAGCACCACUUGGUGCAGGAGAGAGCAGAAGGCCAGGACCUCCGUGGAGGGGGACAUGAGGACAUGUUCCCACUGCAGCUAAUCAAGUGCAUUAAAAAAAAUUAAUUAAUUAA